rnacentral:rRNA from 1 species
UACGUAGGGUGCAAGCGUUAAUCGGAAUUACUGGGCGUAAAGCGUGCGCAGGCGGUUUUGUAAGACCGAUGUGAAAUCCCCCGGCUUAACCUGGGAACUGCGUCUGAUACUGGAAGGCUUGAGUGCGGGAGAGGGAUGUGGAAUUCCAGGUGUAGCGGUGAAAUGCGUAGAUAUCUGGAGGAACACCGGUGGCGAAGGCGGCAUCCUGGACCGACACUGACGCUGAGGCGCGAAAGCUAGGGUAGCAAACGGG